CGCCCACUCAAUUAACCCAGCUGGACGCACGGAAAGCAUGUCCUAGGAACUGAUAAUUUAAAACUCACUGUCUACACUGGAUACUUUAAACUAUGUCCAACAAAUUUAUGACCUGAAACAACAUUUUAAUUUUAUAAUGUUGUUUUUGUUUAACAGCUCGCUUUCUCUAACAUGCAGAAGGUCACCCUUCACACACAACUGGAUCGAUUAUCGCUUCCGAGGAUGUUUAUGUUUGUUCACGCUUUGACUUAAGAUUGUUUUGCAAAGAAGCCACGGUGUAACGUUAAUGGAAAGUUCGAGAAGAAACUUAUUUUGAAGGAAGAAGCCAACAUUAUUUGAUCUGGUACAGCUGCUACAUCAAAACAGAGCCAUGUGCCAGCCACUGACAGGGGAAAGCUGCUGCUAAUGUUAAUGCAUGUCCAACAAGCUCGUAUUGUGUGGGUAUAGAAGAAGACUGGAUCGGUAACUCAGCAUCAUUGGAGAGCUUACCGGUCACAGAGUCUGGGUCAGGAAUGGCUUUUGGAGUGGCGCAGUUCUUUAAAGUGGACACUGUCAGAGUGGGACCAUUCAGCAUUGGUGCCGGUUGGGUAGCAUGGCGCUGUGGAGGAUUGGGUGUAGACUGAGGAGCUGAAAUACACAAAAACAAGAUGAUUCCGAAACUAACUCCAGGUGAAAAUGCCCGUUUAAAAGCAAUACUGUACCAUUGCAACCAGGGUAAUCUAUUAAGUCACUGCCGUCCCCACAGUUGUCGAUGCCUUUAUCGUCUGCACAAACCAGACUCUUGGGGAUACACUUCCCGUUGCGGCAGUUGAAGUAGGGCUCACCGCUGCACUCUGAUUGGUUAAAACCUGAAGACAAAUAUUUGAGUGUAUUAGCAAUCAUCUAUUUUUUAACUGUAAUUGUUUUAAGAAGUAUACGGUAGUACUACAUUGUGAUUACUUCAUUACAAUCUCAGAAAUAAAGGUGCAAAAGCUGCACUGAGGCAAUACUCUUUCAAAAUGUACAAGUUUGUAUUUUUUAUAUGCUAUUUAACUUUAAAGGAAUAGUUCACCCUA
rnacentral:lncRNA from 1 species